rnacentral:rRNA from 1 species
AAAAUCCGGGGGAAUUAGAUGAGGCGUGAUAACGAGCAGGCUUGCCUCUGAAGUGAGUGAUACCCUGCUUCCAGGAAAAGCCACUAAGCUCCAGCUACAUACGACCGUACCGCAAACCGACACUGGUGCGCGAGAUGAGUAUUCUAAGGCGCUUGAGAGAACUCUGGAGAAGGAACCCGCAAAUUGACACCGUAACUUCGGAAGAAGGUGUGCCUUUAGUAGGUGAUCCAUUUACUUGGUGAGCCCAAUGAGGCCGCAGAGAAUCGGUGGCUGCAACUGUUUAUUAAAAACACAGCACUCUGCAAAGACGAAAGUCGACGUAUAGGGUGUGACGCCUGCCCGGUGCUGGAAGAUUAAAUGAUGGGGUGCAAGCUCUUGACUGAAGUCCCAGUAAACGGCGGCCGUAACGAUAACGGUCCUAAGGUAGCGAAAUUCCUUGUCGGGUAAGUUCCGACCUGCACGAAUGGCGUAAUGAUGGCCACACUGUCUCCUCCAGAGACUCAGCGAAGUUGAAAUGUUUGUGAUGAUGCAAUCUCCCCGCGGAAAGACGGAAAGACCCCAUGAACCUUUACUGUAGCUUUACAUUGGACUUUGAACAGAUCUGUGUAGGAUAGGUGGGAGGCUUUGAAACGGUGCCGCUAGGUGUCGUGGAGCCAACGUUGAAAUACCACCCUGGUGUUUUGAGGUUCUAACCUUGGCCCGUUAUCCGGGUUGGGGACAGUGUAUGGUGGGCAGUUUGACUGGGGCGGUCUCCUCCCAAAGCGUAACGGAGGAGUUCGAAGGUACGCUAGCCACGGUCGGAAAUCGUGGUGAUAGUGCAUUGGCAUAAGCGUGCUUGACUGCGAGACUGACAAGUCGAGCAGGUACGAAAGUAGGACAAAGUGAUCCGGUGGUUCUGUAUGGAAGGGCCAUCGCUCAACGGAUAAAAGGUACUCUGGGGAUAACAGGCUGAUACCGCCCAAGAGUUCAUAUCGACGGCGGUGUUUGGCACCUCGAUGUCGGCUCAUCUCAUCCUGGGGCUGUAGCCGGUCCCAAGGGUAUGGCUGUUCGCCAUUUAAAGAGGUACGUGAGCUGGGUUUAAAACGUCGUGAGACAGUUUGGUCCCUAUCUUCCGUGGGCGCUGCAAGAUUGAGAGAGCCUGCUCCUAGUACGAGAGGACCGGAGUGGACGCACCUCUGGUGUAUCGGUUGUCACGCCAGUGGCAUUGCCGAGUAGCUAAGUGCGGAAGAGAUAACCGCUGAAAGCAUCUAAGCGGGAAACUCGUCUCAAGAUGAGUCUUGCCGGGGCCUUGAGCCCCCUGAAGGGUCGUUCGAGACCAGGACGUUGAUAGGCUGGGUGUGGAAGCGCAGUAAUGCGUUAAGCUAACCAGUACUAAUUGCCCGUGAGGCUUGACC